rnacentral:lncRNA from 1 species
AGAUUCCAGAGGAGAUGAUUUUGUGAUUAUUCUCAGCAGAUGCCGCCAGUAUCUCUGUGGGUGAGAUAAAGACGCAAAAUGAUUUGGUGUUGCAUGCUGGCUUUCUUCUGAGUUAGUCCUGGAAGCUUUGUGAUGCUAUCUGAAUGUGAGUGCUGGCCAUGGAGGGAUCAGCAGCUAAGGAAAGAUCGUGCCUCUUUCUGCAGCACGUGGGGCUACAAAGGACAACCUGGACAUAGCAGCCACAGGCUACUAGUCUGGAAUGCAUCAGAGUUUCAAGCUCAGUCACAAUGUUGGAAAUGCAGAACAGGGAGAGGUGAAGGGAAGAGUGGAGGCAAGUACAAAAACCCCAUGAGGUAGACGAGAGCAGGCAGAACCAGAAGUGCCAGCAAGGAGAACAUUGCCC